CAGCCAUCUAACACCUAAGAUUCUGUUAUCUUAUUUCUGCCUUUUUCACAGUCAACAUCAGAGACGCUUUUUCCCCCCCAAACAGGAUCGCCACCUUUGCCUAUUCCUUCCUCAUUCACCCGAGGGACCCAUACCCAUUCACCGUACGGAAACAUCAAAAACAAGCAUUGCUCCAGUGGCUGGCUCUGGCUUCUCUCCAAGGUGGAGAAACUGAGGUACUUAGAGAUUAAGGAAUUGCCCCAGGAUGCACAGCAACAGCAGAGCCAGAAUUCACACCUGGACCACGUAGCUACAGAGCUUCUGGUCUCUUGUAACACCCUCCCACCGCCAUCUUGUGACCCUGUUACAGGGCAGCGAGUGUGCUUGGUGGGGAUAAUUGAGUCACUUGUGAGAGCAUUUACCAUUCUAAGGUGGGACAAAUACUAUCCCUGUUUCUCAGCUGUAGAAACUGGAAUGCUGAAAGGUUAAGCAACGUUCACGAAGUUCCACAGUGAGUCAUUUUCUGAAUCGGGAAAUAAAUUGGUGGCUAACAUUCCCUUUUCCCUGAUUCCACCAGCCAGCAGGAGUCAUUUAACACUAUUUAC
rnacentral:lncRNA from 1 species